GCUAGAUGGUAAGGUAACGGCUUACCAUGGCUACGAUGGGUAGGGGUCCUGAGAGGGAGAUCCCCCACACUGGUACUGAGACACGGACCAGACUCCUACGGGAGGCAGCAGUGAGGAAUAUUGGACAAUGGGCGCAAGCCUGAUCCAGCCAUGCCGCGUGCAGGAUGACGGUCCUAUGGAUUGUAAACUGCUUUUAUACGAGAAGAAACACUGAUUCGUGAAUCAGCUUGACGGUAUCGUAAGAAUAAGGAUCGGCUAACUCCGUGCCAGCAGCCGCGGUAAUACGGAGGAUCCAAGCGUUAUCCGGAAUCAUUGGGUUUAAAGGGUCCGUAGGCGGUCUAGUAAGUCAGUGGUGAAAGCCCAUCGCUCAACGGUGGAACGGCCAUUGAUACUGCUGGACUUGAAUUAUUAGGAAGUAACUAGAAUAUGUAGUGUAGCGGUGAAAUGCUUAGAGAUUACAUGGAAUACCAAUUGCGAAGGCAGGUUACUACUAAUGGAUUGACGCUGAUGGACGAAAGCGUGGGUAGCGAACAGGAUUAGAUACCCUGGUAGUCCACGCCGUAAACGAUGGAUACUAAGUGUUGGGGGCAACUUCAGUGGCUAAGCGAAAGUGAUAAGUAUCCCACCUGGGGAGUACGAACGCAAGUUUGAAACUCAAAGGAAUUGACGGGGGCCCGCACAAGCGGUGGAGCAUGUGGUUUAAUUCGAUGAUACGCGAGGAACCUUACCAAGGCUUAAAAUUGUA
rnacentral:rRNA from 1 species